AGGGGGCGGGAAAAAGGGGCCAGGGGGGCGGGUCCAUAGACUGGGAAGAGAGGGAGGAGCUGACGUAAUCCGCUUGUAAACAAAUAAACCCCGGAGUGGCAGCCGGAGAAGGGGGAGCAAGUGGCUAGGGAAGGAGGAAACCAGGGGUGCGCGUGUGAAAGCCCCGCCCCCCCAGCCCUAGCUCCUCCUUCCCGCUCCGGCAACUCCAGGCUCCUCGCCAGCGCAUCCUCUGCAAGAGUACUCUGCCCGGGCUAGCCUGCGAGGAGGCUUAAUGCUGUGCAGAUAAAAGCAGCCCGGCUUAGGCUGUGUACACCCGCGCCGGCGGCACGGAUACGUCUGCCUGGCCCGCUGACUGUACUCGGUGUUUACAUCCUGUCCCCGACGCGGAGUCUACGUGGCUGGCUCCACGGGCAGGAUGAGCAGCGGGGUGCGGGUACCAGUGCUGAGGAUACAGGGAGUGUGGAGAAAAGUGGAGCGAACCGGCUCUCGAGGCAAACAGGACUUACUUCCCCAGUGGCACAGUGAAUAAAGAAUCCGUCUGCCAAUGCGAGGGACAUGGAUUUGAUUCCUGGUCUGGGAAGAUUACACAUGCCUCGGAGCAACUGAGCCCCUGCGCCAUCACAGCUACUGAAGCCCAUAUGCCUAAAACCUAUGCCCACAACAAGAGAAGCUGUAGCAAUGAGAAGCCUGCGCACUGCAACAAAAAGUAGCCUCCGAUCACUGCAACUAGAGAAAUCCCAUGUGCAACAAUGGAGACCCAGGCAACUCUGUCCAUGGGAUUCUCCAGGCAAGAAUACUGGGGUGCGUUACCAUUUCCUUCUCCAGAGGAUCUUCCCAACUCAGGGAUCAAAACUGCACCUUUUGCAUUGCAGGUGGAUUUAUUGCUGCUGAGCCAUACAGGUGCUCUGAAAGUCUAACUUUUAGAGAGAUGGGACAGAAAAAACAAUCAGAAAAAUCUUUCCCACAGCAACAAAAAGUCAGAAAUCUGAAAAUGAGUAGGAAUUAACCCACAUAAGACCUGGGGAGUGAAAAUUGCUCUCUAGACUAAAGAAACGAAUUUACAAGGAGGACACAGGUUUGCCCAAAGCAGAAUCAUGUGGUCCUAACAGGGGUAGUGAGAAGAAACAGACCAAAGUAUGUGAGGCUAGAACAGGAGGCACCUUGUAAAUUGCAUUUAAAUUGCAUUUAAGAGGUCAAUCUUAUCCAAAGAAUGAGGAAGAAAUCACCCAAGAGUUCUAAGUGUAUUAUUAUACCCAUUAAGCACCAGAGCAAUGAGAAUUCUGGUAUUAGAAAAUUAGAAAGUGACGAUUCCUUCUUAAGAAGUUUUAUUUCUUAUUUGCUUUGUAAGAGCUAUAGGAAAAUCUGUAACCAAGGCCACUUCUCUUAAGAAGCUUCUUUAGAUCUGCUCAGAUAUUCAAUAACACUUGUAACUCUAGAAAUUUAGGUCAGAUGGGCAAACUUUUUAUUUUUUUAUUUUUUUCCCUUCCUAUUUUUUUUUCAUUUAUUUUUAUUAGUCGGAGGCUAAUUACUUUACAAUAUUGUAGUGGUUUUUGUCAUACAUUGACAUGAAUCAGCCAUGGAUUUACAUGUAUUCCCCAAACUUUUUAAAAUAAAGAGUCAGAAUAUACCUUUUGACUUUGUAGGCUAGAGGAUCUUUGUCACAUGUAUUCAACUCUUGCUAGUGUAGUGUAGAUCCCAUGAAACUUUGUUUGCAAAACACAGGAGAUAAUGGGUUUAGCCCUAGGGCAAUACUUUGCCUAUCCUUGAUCUAGAUCAAGUAGCAUCAAAGACAUGAUCUGGAUGGAAGAUUUUGGAGACUAUGGCAAACAUCUAAGUAAACAAACCUUUAACAGAAUAAUUGUACUUCCUUGGGACUUUGAUUUUGAGGAGGACUGUGUUGGGACUUGGGACUUGGUAUUAUAAAAAAGGAACAAAUUGCACCUCCUAUGAGCUGAACAAAUUGACCUUGUGAACAGAAUUAUCAUCUGUGUAGAUUGUGAGGAAUAUGAGAUCCUUAGAGGCAAGUAUUUGUGUCUGUUUUGUUCAGUUUUUCUUUUUAACCCCUAGCUGAAUCCGUGGACUCUCAAGUUUUGUCUAUAGAAUUAUAUGCUAAUGGCUAAUAGAUGUAUCUCACCAAAUGAAUGUUCAGUUAAUGACUUUUCAGCAAUAUAACUUGUAAAAAAGCCUUUUGGCAAACUUUGUUUUAUGCCCAAUGUAAAGCAAAUUUUACCCAAAACACACUAAAUAUACACAGUAUGAGAAAUUGUGUCAAUAUUGUGAUUGCAGGUGAAGACACACUCAUCAAUUCACUCAAAAGAGGUUUUUGUAGUCAGAGUAUCUUGGGAAACAAAUUUAUAUCAGAACGAAUUGCCCUGUUCUGAUGAAUACAAACAUGUUUGCUUUGCCUGUGAAUGGACAUGAAUUUGAGCAAACUCCAGGAGAUAGUAGGGGACACAGGAGCCUGGCGUGCUGCAGUCCAUGGGGUUGCAGAGUUGGACACGACUUAGCAAUGGAAUAACGACAACCAAGCAGGAGAUGAAGAAGAAGCAUCUUCAUUUCUUACAACCCUUUGGUCUGUUGUGUGCAUGUGUUUUGCUUUUAUUUUUGCUGUAGAGAUAAAAUGUUAAGCUUAUUUUAAGCAAAAUUUGACCUCAGUAACAAUGAACCUCCAGAAGAUUGAAACGUCUAUGAAGAAAAUAGUGUACAAAGAAUAAUGAGAUUUCUAAUGUCAAACGCCCUCAUCUUUCCCUAUACAUACAUCAUCGAUCCAGUCUUCACUCCUUCUUUGGGUGAGUACAAUAAGCCUUCAUUGGAUUAUUUGUUAGCUUACUUUCAAAUUUGUUGUUAUUGCUUAUACAAAGUUUUAUUACAUUUGCAUGUCUGGUUAUAUAGGAUAUAUAUCUGUAUAAAUAUCCCAUAUAUAUUUAAAUCUUUGAAAAUUAUU